UUUACAUUCUAGUGUAGCAAUUAUUUUGAUAUGUACCUGCAUCCCUAUUCUCCUUCAUAUAUACUAGAGGAUUUAUAUCAACUAUGGCAAUGAUAAUGUCCUCUAUGCAGUAACUCAGUUAGCACAAACUGUGAUGCGUAGUGCUAUUGGAAAAAUGCCACUUGACAGGACCUUUAUGGAGAGAGACACUAUAAAUGCAAACAUUGUGUAGGGUUUCUUCAGCAUCAACAAGUAGGGUGCUUUACUCUUUUUAGCUAAGUUCUUGUUCGUGGCGCGUUCGAUUUGCUUUAAACUUAAAAGGACUUCAAUAUGAGUACAAAGCAGUUGAUCUUAUCAAAGGGGAGCAAUUUAAUCCAGGU